CCCUUAGAUGUUCUGGGCCGCACGCGCGCUACACUGUUCGACGCAGCGAGUCUUAACCUUGACCGAAAGGUUUGGGUAAUCUUCAGCAAAGUCGAACGUGAUGGGGAUCGAUCAUUGCAAUUAUUGAUCGUGAACGAGGAAUUCCUAGUAAGUGCAAGUCAUCAGCUUGCGCUGAUUACGUCCCUGCCCUUUGUACACACCGCCCGUCGCUACUACCGAUUGAAUGGUUUAGUGAGAUCUCUGGAUUGACGCUGGCUAGGGGGCGACCCUGGGCCAGACUGUUGGGAAACUGCUCAAACUUGAUCAUUUAGAGGAAGUAAAAGUCGUAACA
rnacentral:rRNA from 1 species